CUGCUACUCCCUCCGUCCCGUAUUAAGUGUCGAAAUAUUACAUGUAUCUAGACGCUUUUUAGGUGUAGAUAUAUCCAUAUUUGAACAAAUUUGAGACACUUAAUAUGGGACGGAGGGAGUACAUU
rnacentral:pre_miRNA from 1 species